GUGCUCACAUCAGCAACACAUAUAAUAAAAUUGGAAAAAUAUGAAGAUUAGUAUGGUCCCUGAGCAGAGUUGACAAAAAAAUUCCUGAGGCAUUCCAUAUUUUA